GACGAACGCUGGCGGCGUGCCUAAUACAUGCAAGUAGAACGCUGAAGAGAGGAGCUUGCUCUUCUUGGAUGAGUUGCGAACGGGUGAGUAACGCGUAGGUAACCUGCCUUGUAGCGGGGGAUAACUAUUGGAAACGAUAGCUAAUACCGCAUAACAAUGGAUGACACAUGUCAUUUAUUUGAAAGGGGCAAUUGCUCCACUACAAGAUGGACCUGCGUUGUAUUAGCUAGUAGGUGAGGUAAUGGCUCACCUAGGCGACGAUACAUAGCCGACCUGAGAGGGUGAGCGGCCACACUGGGAAUGAGACACGGCCCAGACUUCUAAGGGAGGCAGCAGUAGGGAAUCUUCGGCAAUGGGGGCCACCCUGACCGAGCAACGCCGCGUGAGUGAAGAAGGUUUUCGGAUCGGAAAGCUCUGUUGUAAGUCAAGAACGGGUGUGAGAGUGGAAAGUUCACACUGUGACGGUAGCUUACCAGAAAGGGACGGCUAACUACGUG
rnacentral:rRNA from 1 species